rnacentral:rRNA from 1 species
GAUGAACGCUGGCGGCGUGCCUAAUACAUGCAAGUCGAGCGAACAGACGAGGAGCUUGCUCCUCUGACGUUAGCGGCGGACGGGUGAGUAACACGUGGAUAACCUACCUAUAAGACUGGGAUAACUUCGGGAAACCGGAGCUAAUACCGGAUAAUAUAUUGAACCGCGUGGUUCAAUAGUGAAAGACGGUUUUGCUGUCACUUAUAGAUGGAUCCGCGCCGCAUUAGCUAGUUGGUAAGGUAACGGCUUACCAAGGCGACGAUGCGUAGCCGACCUGAGAGGGUGAUCGGCCACACUGGAACUGAGACACGGUCCAGACUCCUACGGGAGGCAGCAGUAGGGAAUAUUCCGCAAUGGGCGAAAGCCUGACGGAGCAACGCCGCGUGAGUGAUGAAGGUCUUCGGAUCGUAAAACUCUGUUAUUAGGGAAGAACAAAUGUGUAAGUAAAUAUGCACGUCUUGACGGUACCUAAUCAGAAAGCCACGGCUAACUACGUG